UGGACCUGCAGUUGCAAAUAUUUUAAGUGAGACACUCUAUUGCCACCUGGGGACAUUACUUAAGUCAAAUUCCUUUGGGUCUUCCCGGGACUGAAAUCUUAAUACCAGCUUCAUAGGCCAUAUGCAAAGAGAAAAUAUGCUCUUAAGCAUUUGAAGAGAAAGAAUCAUAAAGAAGUCCUCUUACAACCUGGCUCUGCUGACUGCAUUUUUGUGAUGGCUCUCAUCAGCUGGCCUCGCAGGGCAUUCAUUCUGGCCAGAGUGCCAUUAACAUGCCGGCUGGUGUCUGCAACGGUUAAAUCAUCACCUGUGGGGGGAAAGCAUGAGGUAUAGAUGAAUGGCAUCAAAGUCACAUUUUAAAAAGGUAUGUUUUCUCCUGUAGAGGUAUGUUUAGCCUUUAAUACACCAUUGGCAAUAUGUUAGGACAUCUUUUCCUAUAUGGCAUAGUAGCACUCUUCACAUAAUUCAAAGUCAAGAGCAACCUUGAAGUUCAUUGCCAUUAUUUGCUUGCCACAGGGCUCCUUAGAAAAAUCUGGAGACCUGUAUUUCAGUCAGUACCAUCUCUCUUUGCUUAACCUGGACUGCCAGAAUAAAUCCAAAAAGAGAAGUUUUAAGAAACUCAAAAGGUCCUGAAAAAUUGAAAAGGGCAUUUCUGUAAUUUUAGUACUUUCCUUCAUUUUCAGUGAAAAAGAGGUCAAAAUCCUUUAACAUUUAUUAUUAUCCUUCACUGGUGAAACUGAGCUUUCUGAGCACUUAAACUAUUAUGAAACAAUUUCAGUCAACUGCUUGAGUAUAUUUACAUGGGAAAAACUGUUUGCAGGAUCAGAUAUUUAAAUAGUGGUUAUAUCUUAAAUUGUCCUUUUGUAAAAGAAACAAACAUUCAAUAUCUUGGCAGGACGACAACACAUGCACUUCUCAAACUGUGCCUGUGGCCUUUUCAAUACUUUGUAUUACCACUUUGAUCAAUACACUCUUCUGUUACAGUGAUAGUUCUGCCUUAGUGAUGUGCUUCUGAAAUGUCUUUUAGUGUACAUGCUUAUAAACUGACAGGAAAAGUAGAAAGGAUGUAUAUUUACUGUCGUCUGCUGUCUGUUGCAGCUCCAUGGCUUGGUUGAGAAGUUCUUCGCUUUUACCUUUAUGGUAGAUGAUCUGAGUAUCAAUUCCAACUGCAGCCUGCAAGUAUGUUCCAAAAAAUAAAGUCAUAAUAAUGCUUACCGAA